rnacentral:rRNA from 3 species
AUUGACCUCGGAUCAGGUA